UGUGUUUCCGGUGCAGUGACGCAGGUCUCGGUGUUGACCGGGCUGAAGCUCCACAUCCUCCGGAGCUUCACCGCCCCGCGGCCGCUUUGUUUCUCCGGUACCAGACACCGACAGAGCGGAGCCGCUGAGCCGCUUCUACCGCCUGGAUGUGACGGUUCCCUCCCGGAGCGGAACCCGCCGUCUGCCCGUGAGUCCGGACUCAGUGACCGGGGACCGACAGUGACGACAUCCGUGAGAUUUUGUGCAGGAAAGUGAAGAUUUAAAAUGGCUCCCGCCGCCCGCUGCCGGAGACCGUAGACCGAGUCAGCUCAUCAGCUCCAUGUGUCCUCCCUGUGUCUCCUAGCAACAGCUGAGCCGAUCUCUUACCUGCAACGCUGCUGAAGCGGCGUGAUGUCAGCGAGCGGCGAGGGGGGGUGGGGGUGUCUGGAGGCUCUGGGUCUCAGUCAGAAGGAGCUGGUUCUGGCCGAGGCGCUGCAGAUGGAGUAUGACGCCCUCUCCAGGCUCAAGCAGGACAAGAGCGGCACCGGGGCUGGAUCUGGAACCCCAGGUCAGACCCGGUCUGAGACCCCCAAUCCCCGCCCUGCCCCCACCCUGCCCUGUCCUGCCCCCACAGGAGGGGUCGGCUCUGGAUCUGACCCCUCCCUCCACCAGCUAGGACGGUCCCAGUCUCCACAGUCCGUCCCAACCCGGGCCCCCCCUCCUCAGGGAGGCCACGUCAAAGAGCCCCUGUACAUCUUGGAGGGGUCAGAGGUCAACAAGCUCAGCGACCAAUCAGGAUCCAGCCUGGACGACUCCCAUGGAUCUGGUUCAGGACUUCCUCCUAAAGGCUUCCCCUCGCUUCCUGAUGAUGUCCCCCCCGCCAUCCCACCUAGAAACCCCCUCCCCCUGUCGUCAGGGUCAGAGAACCCCUUCCUUCCCCCUCGAGGGUCGACCACCCCCCGAGACGUCAACCUGUUCACGCCUGACGUGGAUCAGCCCAAGGUCACGUCAGGAGAGGUGAACUAUGACAUCAUCAACGACUCGCUGUCAAAACUGAACGAGAACAGGCCCCGAGGGCGGAGGGCCAAUGGUGACCAAUCAGGGAAGCCUGUGGCUCGGAGUAAGACCCUCCCCCCUCAAGUGCCACCCAGGACGUAUGUACCUGUCGCCAAGAGCAACAAGAACCAGCGGCGAGUUUCUGCAGACCCGGUGUCUCUGGGCUCCAGGAUGAAUGGGUUUGGAUAUGAACUGUUCCAGGUGUCGGAGGAGAGAGACGAGGAGGUGGCGGCGUUCUGUCACAUGCUCGACGUCUUACGUUCGGCGUAUCCGCACGGCGACAGAUCGAAGAACUCCGGCUUCGUGUGGUCGCCCUCUGUGGGUAACGAGGAGCUCCAUCAGGGUUUGGGGGUCAGUGUAAAGGUCACCAUCAUCACCGAGCACUUCAGAGAACCACUCACCUUUACCUGCGAUGGUUCGUCCGCUGUGGACCUGCUCAUCUAUCAGACUCUGUGUUAUGCUCAGGACGACCUGGAUCACAUGGACGUGGACGAUUACCUGCUGAAAGUCUGUGGACACGACGAGUUCUUCAACAACUCUCAGACUCUGGCCGGUGUUGAGUUUGUUCAUCAGUGUCUAAAGUUCGACUGGGACGUCCAACUGUGUCUCAUUAAGAGAUCAGCUGUGAACACGGAGCUGUCCCGCACGAAAGACGACGAUGAGACAGUGUCCAGCAUGAACCACAGCAUCCUGCUGCAGGAGCGUCCAAUCAAACAGACCGUCACCAGGGAGGCUCUGACUCUUCUGCUCGACACGUUUCACAACGAAGCCGAGUCCUUCCUUCUGUCAGAGGCGGAGCUGCCGCUGCACGUCGAGCGCCUUGUCCAGUCAGUGAAGGCGCUCUGCAGCUCAUUAGCAGCCGUGGAAACGCCUGAUGUGACCUCUGCCCUUAACCAGCUCCCAGCAUGCCCCUGUCGCCUGCAGCCCAAAGUCCUCAAGGAUGCAUCAGUGCUCACCAUCAGAGAGAACCGAGAUAAAGUGGUGGAGAAGUUGACGGCGGCUAUCUUGGAUUUGGUGGAGCUGUACUGCAGCACGUUUAACGCCAACUUCCACACGACGCCGCAGAGUCAGUGCUGCACAGCGCCGGUCCAGGAGGCCGGCCUCGUCACCAACGUGCUGUCCUUCAACGUGUACGCUGCCCAUAGGAUCCCCAUCACCUGGGCCGCCAGUUACGAGGGUUUCUUCCUGUCCUGCUCUAUGACUCAUGGAGGGGUGGAGCUCUGCGCACCACAGCACACCAGCAAACAGUCGGUCAGCAAAUACCUGUUCCACCUGGUGGUGUGGGACCAGAGGGUGUGCUUCCCGGUGCAGAUCAACCAGCUGCCUCGAGAGUCUCAGCUGACAGUGACACUGUUUGCCAGCUCUCUGCCUCCCCCUGUAGGAGCUGAGGACAAGGGGAAGCAGCGUCGCAGCAUCGAGGCUCUUGGUUGGGUCACCAUGCCGCUCUUCAACUUCAGACAUGUCCUGACGUGUGGCAGGAAGUUACUGGGUCUGUGGCCUUCGACCCCAGGGAGGACUGGAAAUGCUCGGACGAGUUCACCCAACUUCAGCCAACCCGACAGUGUGAUCGUGCAGGUGGACUUUCCCACCUCGUCCUUCGAGGUCCGCUUCACUACUCCUCCUCCUGCAGACUUCUGUCCUCAGUACGCCUUCUCUAGAUUGGACACCAUCAGUCAGAUCCAGCUGCAGGACGUCCUUCACAAAAAGGCCGUCUUCUGGUUGACGGCGGAGGAUAAGCGUCUCCUGUGGGAGAAGAAGGCCUUCUGUCAGUCUGAGAGUGCAGCUCUGCCUCUGGUUCUGGCCAGCGCCCCCUGCUGGGAGUGGGCCUGUCUGCCGGACAUCUAUGCCCUGCUGAGGCAGUGGGCCUGCCUGGGUCACCUGGACGCCCUUGGACUCCUCCACGCCUCGUUCUCGGACCAGGAGCUGAGGAGGACGGCCGUCCAGUGGAUGGACUCCAUCUCAGACCCAGAGCUGCUGGACUUCCUGCCUCAACUAGUCCAGGCUCUGAAGUACGAGUGUUACCUGGACAGCUCUCUGGUUCGAUUCCUCCUGCGACGAGCCAUCGGGGACAUUCGCAUUGCUCACUACCUCUUCUGGCUGCUGAAGGACAACCUGCAGGACAGUCAGUUCAGUGCUCGCUAUCAGCACCUACUGGCCGCUCUGCUCUGCUGCGUAGGUCGAGGUCUCCGGGACGAGUUCGACCGUCAGUGCUGGCUCGUCUCCAUCCUCACCAAGGUGGCUCACAAAGUCCGAGACGCUGCGCCGUCCAGCAGACAGUCCGUCCUCAGAGACGCUCUGGACGAGAUGAAGCAGUUCUUUUCCAUAAACAGCAGCUGCAGACUUCCUCUGAACCCGGCGCUGCUCGUCACAGGAAUCAACAUCCAGUCGUGUUCCUUCUUCAACUCCAACGCUGUCCCUCUCAAACUGUCCUUCCAUAACCUGGACACUCUGGGAGACAACAUCAAUGUCAUCUUCAAGUCAGGAGACGACCUGCGACAGGACAUGCUGACUCUGCAGAUGAUCCGCAUCAUGAACAAGAUCUGGAUCCAGGAGGGUCUGGACAUGAGGAUGGUCAUCUUCAAAUGUUUCUCCACUGGCCGAGGACGAGGUGAGCUCCCUCCAGGUAUGGUGGAGAUGAUUCCUCACGCUGACACUCUGAGGAAGAUCCAGGUGGAACAUGGAGUCACUGGAUCCUUUAAAGACCGACCUCUGGCCGACUGGCUCCUGAAACACAACCCCACUGACGAGGAGUACGACAAGGCCGUGGAGAACUUCAUCUACUCGUGUGCCGGCUGCUGUGUGGCCACCUACAUCCUGGGAAUCUGCGACCGCCACAAUGACAACAUCAUGCUGAAGACCAGCGGCCACAUGUUCCACAUCGACUUCGGGAAGUUCCUGGGACACGCGCAGAUGUUCGGAAACAUCAAACGAGACCGCGCCCCCUUCGUCUUCACCUCCGACAUGGCGUACGUCAUCAAUGGAGGAGACAAACCGUCCAGUCGCUUCCACGACUUUGUGGAUCUGUGCUGUGAGGCGUACAACGUGAUCAGGAAACACACGCACCUGUUCCUCAACCUGCUGGGCCUGAUGUUGUCCUGUGGGAUUCCAGAACUGUCUGAUCUGGAGGAUCUGAAGUACGUGUACGAUGCUCUGAGGCCUCAUGAGUCUGAGGCCGACGCCACCAUGUACUUCACCAGGUUGAUUGAGUCGAGUCUCGGCAGCGUCGCCACCAAACUCAACUUCUUCAUCCACAACCUGGCUCAGAUGAAGUUCACCUCGUCGGAGGAACGUCUCACGCUGUCGUUUGCUCCAAAAGUUCACACGCCGAAGAGCGACGGCGUCAUCAGGAACCUGUACAUCUGCAGACACAUCCGCACCGCCAACGCCAACAAGGGCUACGCCUUCGUGGUGAAGGUGGAGCGUGACGGACAGGAAGUUCAGCUGGUUCAGAGGACGUUUGAAGAGUUUUAUGAACUUCACAGUAAAAUGAGACUGAUGUUCCCGUCAUCCAGACUGCCCAGUUUCCCAAACCGUUUUGUGAUUGGUCGGUCCAGAGGUGAGGCGAUGGCCGACAGGAGGAAAGACGAGUUGAAUGGUUACGUCUGGCACCUGAUCCACGCCGCUCCAGAGGUGGCCCAGUGUGAGCUGGUCUACACUUUCUUCCACCCACUGCCGAGAGACGAGAGACCAGGAACAACAACCAGCAAACCAGCAGAGUUGUCUUGGUCUCCGGCCUCAGAGAAAGACCUGGGUGAAGUCAAACUCUCCAUCUCCUACAAGAAUGACAAACUCUUCAUCAUGGUCAUGCACAUACGAGGACUGCAGCCUCUUCAGGAUGGGACAGACCCUGACCCGUACGUGAAACUCUACCUCCUCCCUGACCCUCAGAAAACCAGUAAGAGGAAGACAAAGGCGGCGCGACGCACCUGUAACCCCACCUACAAUGAGAUGCUGGUGUACGAGCGGAUCCCUCGCGGCGACCUGGACCAGCGGGUGAUCCACCUGCGGGUUCUGGGUGACGGAGCUUUCUGGGAGAACACUCUGCUGGGUGAGACUUUCAUUCCUCUGAAGAAGCUGGUCCCAGGUCAGCACUGGGUCGACUGGCACCGGCUCAGCACCGCCGCCUCUGACUCCGCCCACUGACCAACAGGAAACAGGGAUUUGAAGAAGAAGAAGAAGAAGAAGAAGAAGAAGAAGAAGAAGAGGUGUUUCUCCUCAUGAGGAUGACUGAGGAAAGAAGGAAAAUCCUUUCAAAGUAAAAGCCUUGUGGCUGAUCCUCUGUGUGAGGUCACUUCAAUGACAUCAUCGCUGUUCACUUCAACAACUUCAAUUUAAGACACGUUUCCAUGGAAACCUGCAAACACUCAGAUUCUUCUGAUGUUUUUAAUUUAACAUCAAUAAAAAUUCAUCUUUUGCACUUGAAACACACAAACAUUAAUUUUACUUAAAUAAUUAAAAGUUCAAAAACUCGCUACACACACACACACACACACUGAAGUAGAUGUGAAAUCAUCAGCUCGUUCAGAAGUUAAAACUAAAAUACGUGUCAGUCGUCACACUGCGAGGAAAUGUAUGAAGUUUAUCUUCAGGGACCAUGAAGAGGAAACGUUCAGACGCUGCGUCACUUUUUAUACAACUACUGCAAAAGAUGAAAGUCUUCAUCACAAUAAACAACUAAAAACACUUCAAGUCAAAGCUGCGUUACAGAAACUCACUUCAUCUUCACACUGACACUUUGUGAAGCUUUGGUCUAAACGCUGAAACUAACAGGAAGCAGCUGGAGCCCAAUUGGAGUGAGGUGGAGUGAGGUGAGGUGGAGUGAGGUGAG